AAAGAAAGCUUUUGAACUAUCAGUUUUUUGUGAUGCUGAAGUUGCUUUAAUCAUCUUCUCUCUUAGAGGCAAGCUCUUUGAAUUUGCAAGCUCUAGGUAAAUAAUAUUUUUCUUUAAACCCCCCUCACUUUUCAAUUAUAUUUUAUGGUGCCUUAUAUGCUAUUAUAUAGUUGAAGGCACUGUUUAUUUGUUAUUGUUGUUUCUCAUUUAAGAGGAUGCAUCAUUGGAAUGAACCAUUUUCUCUUGAUACCUUUGGUAGUCCAAAACAACAAAUGAAAUUUAACAUGUGUAGGUCUAAGUACAUUAUAAAACCAGAGCCAUUCGUAUGUCUAUAGUUUUGGUUAAUGGGAAAUAUUAUUGAAGUUGCAGUUGUUGAUGCACUGAGCUAUCAAAAUAUUACUGUUUUUGGGUCAUAUGUUAAAACCAAAGUUUUAUCUUAGUAGUUUUCUACCCUUAUAUUUCACUAAGUAGUUUAUUAUUCCAUGCCUUUAAACACAAUGCUCAAACUAGGAAUAGG
rnacentral:lncRNA from 1 species